GGUCAAGCUACAAAGAGUCUAUGCACGGAUGACUUGGUUCGGUGAGGCGAUGAAGGACGCGGUAAGCAGCGAUAUGCUCCGGGUAGCAGCAAACAUGCGUUAAUCCGGAGAUCUCCGAAUGGGGUAACCCUUCCGGUGUAACGACCGGAAACCCUGCUAUGAAUACAUAGUAGUAGGGAGCGAACCAGCUGAAGUGAAACAUCUAAGUAAGCUGAGGAAGAGAAAUCGAAUGAGAGUCCCCCAGUAGCGGCGAGCGAAAAGGGAUGAGCCUAAACUCAUUGUUCCUUCGCAAGGAGAAAACAAUGAGGGUUGUCGGGACACCAAUGUGGUAGCUUAAGGAAUAGCAGAAAUGUCUGGAAAGGCAUGCCAUAGAGAGUGAAAGCCUCGUAUGCGAAAUUCCAAGAGCGCCUAGGUGUAUCCCAAGUACCAUGGGACACGGGAAAUCCUGUGGGAAUCUGGGCAGACCACUGUCUAAGGCUAACUACUCCACCGAGACCGAUAGUGUACCAGUACCGUGAGGGAAAGUUGAAAAGAACCCCGGGAGGGGAGUGAAAUAGAACCUGAAAUCAUAGACUCACAAAGCGGUGGGAGGGCUAUGUUCAUUGGCGUAAGCUGAUGAUCACGCCUGACCGCGUACCUUUUGCAUAAUGGUCCGACGAGUUGUUAGUGCAAGCGAGUUUAAGUGGUUGAGUGAAAGCUCACCAUGGAGGCGUAGGGAAACCGAGUCCUAACUGGGCGUUUAGCUUGCUCUAACAGACCCGAAGCUGAGUGAUCUACCCAUGGUCAGGGGGAAGUUCCGGGAAACCGGGAUGGACGUCCGAACCCGUGAGCGUUGAAAAACUCUGGGAUGAACUGUGGGUAGGAGCGAAAGACUAAACAAACUCAGAAAUUGCUGGUUCUCCCCGAAACAAUUCUAGGGUUCGCCUUUAGACACUACGUCGUGGGGGUAGAGUGCUGAAUGGACUACGGGAGCCCACCGGCUUGCUGAGUCCAACCAAACUCCGAAUACCACGGCGACUAUCUAAGGAGUAAGACGACGGGGGCCAAGCUCCGUCGUCAAGAGGGAAUCAGCCCAGACCACCAGCUAAGGUCCCUAAAAGUAAGCUAAGUUGUAAAGGAUGUGGAUUCGCGAUAACAGCCAGGAUGUUGGCUUAGAGGCAGCCAUCAUUUAAAGAGUGCGUAACAGCUCACUGGCCGAGCGGGUCUGCGCCUAAGAUGAGCGGGGAUCAAGCUUAUUACCGAAGCUGUGGGUAUGUCGAGAUUUCGGUCUCGAUAUGCGGUAGGGGAGCAUUGUCCAGUUGGCUGAAGCUGUACCGUAAGGAGCAGUGGACACUGGACAAGGGAUUAUGUCGGAAUGAGUAGCGAAAACAUCUGCGAGAAACAGAUGCACCGAAAGUCGAAGGUUUCCUGGGGAAGGUUAAUCCACCUAGGGUUAGUCGUGCCUAAGCUGAGGCCAAUCGGCGUAAGCGAUGGAUGAUCUGUUAAUAUUCAGAUACUAGCUUGCUGACGUUAACACUUUUUGGAUGACGCAGGAGGACUGGGCUUGCGGGGUGUUGGAUGUCCCCGUUCUUGCCCGAGUAAUUGGGUGAGGGGACCCUGAGGUUUCCGAGGGGGAAGUUGACCAAGACCACACUGCCGAGAAAAGUCCAAAAAGGAGCCAGCAGGUUACACGUACCGGAAUCCGACACAGGUAGACCACCAGAAUAUGGUAAGGUGCUCGAGAUAACCCUCGUUAAGGAACUCGGCAAUCUAGCCGCGUAAGUUCGCAAUAAGCGGUGCCCCGCUCUGCUAAGGAGAUGGGGUCGCAGUGAAGUGGCUCGGAUGACUGUUUAGCAAAAACACAUCUCUCUGCAAACUCGAAAGAGGACGUAUAGGGAGUGACACCUGCCCAGUGCUGGAAGGUUAAGGGGAUUCGUCAGUGGGAGUAAUCCUGUCGAAGCGAUGAACCGAAGCCCCAGUAAACGGCGGCCGUAACUAUAACGGUCCUAAGGUAGCGAAAUUCCUAGUGGGGUAAGUUCCCACGCGCACGAAUGGUGUAACAAUCUGAGCGCUGUCUCAACGAGGGACUCGGCGAAAUUGUAGUGGCGGUGAAGAUGCCGUCUACCCGCAUCAAGACGAAAAGACCCCAGAACCUUUACUGCAACCUAUCAUUGGAUUUUGGUUUGACAUGUGUAGUAUAGGUGGGAGGCGAUGAGGCCCGGGCGCUAGUUCGGGCAGAGCCGCAAUGUGAAAUACCACCCUUGUUUGGCUAAAGUUCUAACUUGCUGGCUUGAAUCAGCGGUGAGGACAGUGAUAGGCGGGCAGUUUGACUGGGGCGGUUCCCUUCUAAAAAGUAACAAAGGGGCCCAAAGGUUGGCUCAAGCCGGUCGGCAAUCGGCUGUGGAGUGUAAGCGCAUAAGCCAGCUUGACUGCAAGUCGGACACGACGCGCAGAUACGAAAGUAGGGGCUAAUGAUCCGGUGGUGAAAUGUGGAAUUGCCAUCGCUCAACGGAUAAUAGGUACUCUGGGGAUAACAGGCUUAUCGGGCUCGAGAGUUCACAUCGACAGCCCGGUUUGGCACCUCGAUGUCGGCUCAUCCUAUCCUGGGGCUGGAUAAGGUCCCAAGGGUCCGGCUGUUCGCCGGUUAAAAGGGUACGCGAGCUGGGUUCAGAACGUCGUGAGACAGUUCGGUCUCUAUCUGAUGUGGGCGUAGGAUACCUGAAGAGGAGUUUUCCACAGUACGAGAGGACCUGGAAAAACGGACCGCUGGUGUUCCGGCUGUCCUGCCAAGGGCAAAGGCCGGGUAGCUAUGUCCGUACGGGAUAAGCGCUGAAAGCAUCUAAGUGCUAAGCCCCCCUCAAGACGAGGUAUCCCUGGACCGCAAGGUCCUGUAGGCACCCGGUAGACUACCGGGUUGAUAGGCGUAAAGUGUAAGACCCGUAAGGGUUUUAGCUUAUACGUACUAAUCUGCCAAUCGGCUUGACCUU
rnacentral:rRNA from 1 species